rnacentral:rRNA from 1 species
CCCUUAGAUGUUCUGGGCUGCACGCGCGCUACACUGAAGCGUUCAACGAGUAUUCACCUUGCCCGGGAGGGUUGGGUAAUCUUUUGAAAACGCUUCGUGAUGGGGAUAGAUUAUUGCAAUUAUUAAUCUUCAACGAGGAAUUCCUAGUAAGCGCGAGUCAUCAGCUCGCGUUGAUUACGUCCCUGCCCUUUGUACACACCGCCCGUCGCUCCUACCGAUUGAAUGGUCCGGUGAAAUCUUCGGAUUGCUGACCAAGAUCCAGCAAUGGAGCUUGGUUGCGAGAAGUUGAUUAAACCUUAUUAUUUAGAGGAAGGAGAAGUCGUAACA